CUUUCAGUUGAGAGAAAAAAUACGUGACUAAUAAUCAUGAUUCAUGACGGUAUCAACAGAAGAAGCACCGGCUAACUACGUGCCAGCAGCCGCGGUAAUACGUAGGGUGCAAGCGUUAAUCGGAAUUACUGGGCGUAAAGGGUGCGCAGGCGGUUCUGUAAGUCAGAUGUGAAAUCCCCGGGCUUAACCUGGGAACUGCGUUUGAAACUGCAGAGCUAGAGUGCAGCAGAGGGAGGUGGAAUUCCAUGUGUAGCAGUGAAAUGCGUAGAGAUAUGGAAGAACAUCGAUGGCGAAGGCAACCUCCUGGGCUAGCACUGACGCUCAUGCACGAAAGCGUGGGGAGCAAACAGGAUUAGAUACCCUGGUAGUCCACGCCCUAAACUAUGUCAACUAGUUGUCGGGUCUUAUUAGACUUGGUAACGUAGCUAACGCGUGAAGUUGACCGCCUGGGGAGUACGGUCGCAAGAUUAAAACUCAAAGGAAUUGACGGGGGGG
rnacentral:rRNA from 1 species